rnacentral:rRNA from 1 species
GAUGAACGCUGGCGGCAUGCCUUACACAUGCAAGUCGAACGGCAGCACGGGUGCUUGCACCUGGUGGCGAGUGGCGAACGGGUGAGUAAUACAUCGGAACGUACCCUAUCGUGGGGGGUAACGCAGCGAAAGCUGUUCUAAUACCGCAUACGCCCUGAGGCGGAAAGCGGGGGAUCGCAAGACCUCGCGCGAUUAGAGCGGCCGAUGCCUGAUUAGCUUGUUGGUGGGGUAAAAGCCCACCAAGGCGACGAUCAGUAGCUGGUCUGAGAGGACGAUCAGCCACACUGGGACUGAGACACGGCCCAGACUCCUACGGGAGGCAGCAGUGGGGAAUUUUGGACAAUGGGGGCAACCCUGAUCCAGCAAUGCCGCGUGAGUGAAGAAGGCCUUCGGGUUGUAAAGCUCUUUUGUCAGGGAAGAAACACCGGCUCUAACACAGUCCGGGAAUGACGGUACCUGAAGAAUAAGCACCGGCUAACUACGCGCCAGCAGCCGCCGUAA